CUUGGAGUAGCUCAGUGGUAGAGCAGCCGGCUCUUAACCGGCAGGGCGCGGGUUCGAAUCCUGCCUCCAAGU
rnacentral:tRNA from 1 species